rnacentral:lncRNA from 1 species
ACCUCUUCCCAUGCCCUGUUUGUAGGAGUUGUGCAGAAAGAAGAUUGCUUUGCUCUUGGCCGAUGGAUUAGAGUAAAUGUAGAGAAAAUGGUACAUGCAGUCAUCAUCAUCAGCGACUGGAGAUGCUAGAGGGCUGUGGAACUAGAGCAAGACAAGCAGUUGCUGGGGGAAAGAGGAAUGUAAUUUUAAAAUGCACUGCACU